rnacentral:rRNA from 1 species
UGGGGAAUAUUGCACAAUGGAGGGAACUCUGAUGCAGCGACGCCGCGUGAGUGAUGAAGGAAUUCGUUUCGUAAAACUCUGUUCUAUGGGAAGAAAAGGACUGUACCAUAGGAGAAAGCUCCGGCUAAAUACGUGCCAGCAGCCGCGGUAAUACGUAUGGAGCGAGCGUUGUCCGGAAUUAUUGGGCGUAAAGGGUGCGCAGGCGGCUUUACAAGUUGGAUGUGAAAUAUUGUGGCUCAACCUCAAACGUGCAUCCAAAACUGCAAAGCUUGAGUUAAGGAGAGGUAAGUGGAAUUCCUGGUGUAGCGGUGGAAUGCGUAGAUAUCAGGAGGAAUACCGGUGGCGAAGGCGACUUACUGGACUUAAACUGACGCUCAGGCACGAAAGCGUGGGGAGCAAACAGG